rnacentral:misc_RNA from 1 species
GCAAACUUGGUCAUUUAGAGGAAGUAAAAGUCGUAACAAGGUUUCCGUAGGUGAACCUGCGGAAGGAUCAUUAAAAAAGGUUUGGACCUCUUUUAUGGAUCUAUUAAAAAUUCAUGAAUCCACUUUGUGUGCAACUAUUGAAAAAGAAGGUGGCUUCUGGGAGAUGGGUUUCAGAUGAUGAAACUUCAUCUCCCAAGAGGUAUAUUUUAAAUCCUACAAUUUUAUUUUUUUUGAUGACUUAAUUUUUAUAUAUAGUAAAAAAUAAAAAAACAACUUUCAACAACGGAUCUCUUGGCUCUUGCAUCGAUGAAGAACGCAGC